rnacentral:rRNA from 1 species
AUGAAGGACCCGGCGCACCGCACGAAGGUGGUGCUCAGGCGGCUGCCGCCGGCGAUUGCGCAGCAGGCCGUCGUGGACCAGGUUGACGCGCGCUUCGCUGGGCGGUAUGACUGGGCCUGCUUCCGCCCCGGUAAUGCCAGCCAAAAGAAUCAUAGAUAUUCUCGUCUCUACCUUAACUUCAAGAGCCCAGAAGAUGUUGUUGAGUUUGCUGAGUUCUUCAAUGGGCAUGUAUUUGUGAAUGAAAAGGGUGCUCAAUUUAAAGCUCUUGUGGAAUAUGCACCAUCACAACAGGUUCCGAAGUCAAAUAUCAAGAAAGAUGCUCGUCAAGGAACUAUAACAAAAGAUCCAGAAUACUUGGAAUUUCUUGAGCUUAUAUCAAAGCCUACUGAGCAUUUGCCAAGUGCUGAAAUUCAGCUUGAAAGGAAAGAAGCCGAAAGAGCAGCUGCUGGAAAGGAGCCCCCUGUUGUGACACCUUUAAUGGUUUAUGUUCGUCAGCAAAGGGCGGCUAAGAGUAUGGCUCAGAGGUCUGUAAGUAGUAGACUAAGCAGAAAAGUUGCAGGCGUGGUAACUAGUAGUUCUAGUCCAUCUAAAAGGUCUUCUGAAAGGCGCAGGGCCUCCACUUCAACGCAGUAUGUUGUGCGAGACAAUGCUAAGGAGAAGCCGACUUACAUCUUAGCGCCAAAGAGAGAUGAUCAUACACACAGAGAGAAAAUCAUUGCUGGAACUUCAGAUGCUACAAGCGGUGGGCCAUCUGGAUCUGCUCAGGUUAUCGACGGUAAAAAGGACAAAAUUGUCCUUCUGAAAGGAAGAGCGAGGGUUGAUUCCAAUAUAUCUGAUAGCUCAACCCCGCAGCAGUCUGUGCCGCCUUCGAGAAAUACACCCCCAUCAACUAAUAGACAAGACCAGCGAAAUGAGGCCAGUGGCAGAAUUAUCAAGACUAUACUUUCAAACAAGGAAGGACGCCAUGCAAUAGCAUCAUCUCAACAUGAGCAAGAAGGUCACAUAAUUAGUGCCGAGAAGGAUAAGAGGCCACCACGGGCUCCGAACUCGCGUUCCACUGUAAAAGAUCAGACUGUUGAAAAUGCUGAGAAAAACCACUAUGAUGACAAGCAUAAUCAUCUGCAUGGUUCUGGACCCAUUGGUGAGAAGGUUGAAAGACAUGCCAGAAAUAGAGAUAGGCCUGACCGAGGUGUUUGGGCCCCUCGUCGCUAUGACAAGUCUGCAUCAGGAGGCAGUACGCAAGCCUCAUCAUCUGAGUUCCCGCUAAUGCAGUCACACUCUAUGGACAAUUUCUCUCAGCAAGUAGAUGGCCAUGGAGAGAGAAAAAUAGACACAAGGAGUCCUGGUGGCCGUGGUGGCCUUGUGGAGAAUGGAAACAGGCAUGCCAACCGCCGUGGUCCGCCACGUGGGUCGAAGGAGAUGGAAAUCCCUCCUAUUACAUCUGAUGGAAAGCCUUCAAAGAGGGGCCCUGCUAGCUAUGUGGCUCAUGAGAGACAAGUAUGGGUUCAAAAGUCAAGUUCAGGAUCGUGA